UCAGGAUGAACGCUGGCGGUAUGCUUAACACAUGCAAGUCGAACGGGAACUUUUUAAGUUCUAGUGGCGGACGGGUGAGUAACGCGUGAGAAUUUACCUCUAGGAGGGGAACAACAGUUAGAAAUGACUGCUAAUGCCCCAUAUGCUUUAUAGUGAAACGGAUUCGUCCGCCUGGAGCAAAGCUCGCGUCUGAUUAGCUUGUUGGUAAGGUAAUGGCUUACCAAGGCGACGAUCAGUAGCUGGUUUGAGAGGAUGAUCAGCCACACUGGAACUGAGACACGGUCCAGACUCCUACGGGAGGCAGCAGUGGGGAAUUUUCUGCAAUGGGCGAAAGCCUGACAGAGCAAUACCGCGUGAGGGAUGAAGGCCCGUGGGUCGUAAACCUCUUUUUUCC
rnacentral:rRNA from 1 species